rnacentral:rRNA from 1 species
UACGUAGGUGGCAAGCGUUGUCCGGAUUUACUGGGCGUAAAGGGCGUGCAGGCGGUUUGUCUAGUCUAGGGUGAAAGCUCCCGGCUUAACUGGGAGAGGUCCUUGGAUACUGGCAAACUUGAGGGAGGCAGAGGAAAGUGGAAUUCCCGGUGUAGUGGUGAUAUGCGUAGAUAUCGGGAGGAACACCAGUGGCGAAGGCGGCUUUCUGGGCCUUACCUGACGCUGAUGCGCGAAAGCGUGGGGAGCGAACAGG